UCUGCUCACUCCUUGGACCAGGAUGGAACCAACUGUCUCGAACAAAUAACCUGUAGGCCUGAAUCUGGCUCCUCCUCUCCAUGCUUCAGAGAUAAAUAUAGAUAUAGGGCUUCAGGGAACAGUUUAGGCCAUAUGCUUGCCUGGCAUGUCCUUCACAGAAGUUCAAGGUGCAUAAGGUGAAGAAAUGGAUACUUGCGAAGGGCAGGAACCUGCCCAAAAUCACAUGGAGUCUAGGAUGAGAAUGAUACAAGGAAUGCACAGCUUGCUGUCUGCCUGACAUAGAGCAUCUGGCAUGUUUGAGAGUCUUACCAGCUUGGAUCAAGGAGUAAGUUGUGGAGAGCCCUGCACUGUCCCAAGAAGCAGCCGGAGAUGGAUCCUCUGGGCCCUACACUCCAGACUUCAGGAGCUACUGGAGGAGGAGAUGUCUAUUCAGGCACCAGCUAAAGUCAAAGGAGAAACAGACAACCUGGUGGGAAAACAGCAUCACUGCAGCUUAGGACAGCUGGGAGGGACCUGAAGCUCCACACCACCUCAGCCCCCUGCCCCAUUUUGCAGGGUUAAGAAGGAGAUGCCUGGAGAGGUGAGCUCCCAGAGGUCACAAAGCAAGGAAGGGGCCAGUGGAACCCAAGUCUGCCGGGGUCCAAGUGCGGUGGUGCUUUUGUGGUUUCCUGGAAGAGUGAGCGCUGCUGUUGGAGGUCUACAGUCUGGCUGCAGCCUUUACUAGGUGGUAUCGCAGGCAUGUCUGUGCCUAUUUCUAACGUGCAUUGUAGAUGAAGCGACCUGCUGACUGCCUGCAUGG